GAGUUUGAUUCUGGCUCAGGAUGAACGCUGGCGGCGUGCUUAACACAUGCAAGUCGAACGGGCGAAUUAUAUCGGAGGUCUUCGGGCCGAAGAGAUAAUAAGCUAGUGGCGGACGGGUGCGUAACGUGUGGGUAAUCUGCCUUUGUCAUAGGAAUAACUGCUUGAAAAAGUAGCUAAUACCAAAUAACAUAUCGUAUAGGCAUCUAUAAGAUAUCAAAGAGAAAUCGGACAAAGAUGAGCCCGCAUCUGAUUAGCUAGUUGGUAGGGUAAAAGCCUACCAAGGCGACGAUCAGUAGCCGGCCUGAGAGGGUGAACGGCCACAUUGGAACUGAGACACGGUCCAAACUCCUACGGGAGGCAGCAGUGGGGAAUAUUGCACAAUGGGGGGAACCCUGAUGCAGCAACGCCGCGUGAGUGAAGAAGGCUUUCGAGUCGUAAAACUCUGU
rnacentral:rRNA from 1 species